rnacentral:rRNA from 1 species
UAAUACGGAGGGGGUUAGCGUUGUUCGAAAUUACUGGGCGUAAAGCGCACGUAGGCGGAUUGGAAAGUUGGGGGUGAAAUCCCGGGGCUCAACCCCGGAACUGCCUCCAAAACUAUCAGUCUAGAGUUCGAGAGAGGUGAGUGGAAUUCCAAGUGUAGAGGUGAAAUUCAUAUAUAUUUGGAGGAACACCAUUGGCGAAGGCGGCUCACUGGCUCGAUACUGACGCUGAGGUGCGAAAGUGUGGGGAGCAAACAGGAUUAGAUACCCUGGUAGUCCACACCGUAAACGAUGAAUGCCAGUCGUCGGGCAGUAUACUGUUCGGUGACACACCUAACGGAUUAAGCAUUCCGCCUGGGGAGUACGGUCGCAAGAUUAAAACUCAAAUGAAUUGACGGA